AACAGAACAGAACGGGGCAGAGCAGAAGCGCAGUCAGUUACUUGAGAUCUAAAAACAAACAAGGUAAUAAGCCUCUCUAUUUAACAGGCAAAAAGGCAUUU